rnacentral:rRNA from 2 species
UCCUGGCUCAGGAUAGACGCGGCGGCGUGCUAAUACAUGCAAGUCGAACGAAACUUUCUUACACCGAAUGCUUGCAUUCACCGUAAGAAGUUGAGUGGCGGACGGGUGAGUAACACGUGGGUAACCUGCCUAAAAGAAGGGGAUAACACUUGGAAACAGGUGCUAAUACCGUAUAUCUCUAAGGAUCGCAUGAUCCUUAGAUGAAAGAUGGUUCUGCUAUCGCUUUUAGAUGGACCCGCGGCGUAUUAACUAGUUGGUGGGGUAACGGCCUACCAAGGUGAUGAUACGUAGCCGAACUGAGAGGUUGAUCGGCCACAUUGGGACUGAGACACGGCCCAAACUCCUACGGGAGGCAGCAGUAGGGAAUCUUCCACAAUGGACGCAAGUCUGAUGGAGCAACGCCGCGUGAGUGAAGAAGGUCUUCGGAUCGUAAAACUCUGUUGUUAGAGAAGAACACGAGUGAGAGUAACUGUUCAUUCGAUGACGGUAUCUAACCAGCAAGUCACGGCUAACUACGUGCCAGCAGCCGCGGUAAUACGUAGGUGGCAAGCGUUGUCCGGAUUUAUUGGGCGUAAAGGGAACGCAGGCGGUCUUUUAAGUCUGAUGUGAAAGCCUUCGGCUUAACCGGAGUAGUGCAUUGGAAACUGGAAGACUUGAGUGCAGAAGAGGAGAGUGGAACUCCAUGUGUAGCGGUGAAAUGCGUAGAUAUAUGGAAGAACACCAGUGGCGAAAGCGGCUCUCUGGUCUGUAACUGACGCUGAGGUUCGAAAGCGUGGGUAGCAACAGGAUAGA